rnacentral:rRNA from 1 species
GACGAACGCUGGCGGCGUGCUUAACACAUGCAAGUCGAACGAUGAAGCCUAGCUUGCUAGGUGGAUUAGUGGCGAACGGGUGAGUAAUACGUGAGUAACCUACCUUUAACUCUGGGAUAAGCCUGGGAAACUGGGUCUAAUACCGGAUACGACCAAUCUCCGCAUGGGGUGUUGGUGGAAAGCGUUAUGUAGUGGUUAUAGAUGGGCUCACGGCCUAUCAGCUUGUUGGUGAGGUAACGGCUCACCAAGGCGACGACGGGUAGCCGGCCUGCGAGGGUGACCAGCCACACUGGGACUGAGACACGGCCCAGACUCCUACGGGAGGCAGCGGUGGGGAAUAUUGCACAAUGGGCGCAAGCCUGAUGCAGCGACGCCGCGUGAGGGAUGACGGCCUUCGGGUUGUAAACCUCUGUUAGCAGGGAAGAAGAGAGAUUGACGGUACCUGCAGAGAAAGCGCCGGCUAACUACGUG